rnacentral:rRNA from 1 species
UACGGGGGGGGCGAGCGUUGUCCGGAAUUAUUGGGUGUAAAGGGCGCGUAGGCGGAUUUGUAAGUCAGUGGUGAAAUCUCGGGACUUAACUCCGAGUCUGCCGCUGAGACUGCUUUUCUUGAGUGUGGAAGAGGAAAUCGGAAUUCCCGGUGUAGCGGUGAAAUGCGUAGAUAUCGGGAAGAACACCAGUGGCGAAGGCGGAUUUCUGGUCCACAACUGACGCUGAGGCGCGAAAGCGUGGGGAGCAAACAGG